GGAGCAGGCAGGAUGGCCUGGGGGAAGAGAUGGGGUGUUUGCGUGGUGACGUGGGGAACCUCAGCACAAGCAGCAGCACAUAGAGGAUGUGGGGCUAUAGCUGCCUGGCAGGCACCAAAGGAGUGGCGUAGAAGUGGCUUGUCAACAAGGCUGACCUGUCCUCCCAGGCCACGUGAAGGGCCUGUAGCGGAGAUGUUUUUCCCUGCCUCCUUCCCAGCAGUGCCCUGCACAGCCUUGCCCCUCGUUAGCAGAAGGGGGCUCCUGCAGAAGGCUUUCCUCCCAGCAUGGUCUAUGCAGCUCCAUCGCAGAGCUGCUCUUCCAAGCUGUGCUAGUCACUCCCAGACUGGCUUUGUGGAGUAUGCAGUUUCCCUGCUUCCAAGAAGUAGUAAUACAAAAUAAGAGCACAAAGGUCUGGAGAGGGUCAAUGGGGCUGUAGAAGGAGUCUUACAGCAAGAAUAAAGACAGCUCUAGCUCUUACUCUGA